rnacentral:rRNA from 1 species
GAUGAACGCUAGCGGGGGCCUAACACAUGCAAGUCGAACGAACCUUCGGGUGAGUGGCAAACGAGUGCGUAACACGUGCCUAAUCUGCCCUGGAGUGGGGGAUAACAUCGGAAACGGUGCUAAUCCCGCAUACGCUUUGAUUUAUGAAAAAGAUCAGAGGAAAGAUUUAUCGCUCUAGGAGGAGGGUGCGGCCUAUUAGUUAGUUGGUGAGGUAACGGCUCACCAAGACGAUGAUGGGUAGCUGGUCUGAGAGGAUGAUCAGCCACGAUGGAACUGAGACACGGUCCAUACCCCUAGGGGGCAGCAGUGGGAAUCUUGCACAAUGGACG